rnacentral:misc_RNA from 1 species
GAAUGUGUUUGAGAGCUUAGCUCUUUUUGUAAUGUAAGAUAAGAGGGUUAGUGUUUGGGAGGGUCAUUUGAUGAUCACCAUGAAAAAAUUUGUGUAUAGUUCCUAUUGGUGAUUGAAUUUUUGUCAUUUACUCUGUGAAUGUAAUUCAGUAAUUGUAAUGUCUUGAUCCUUCAUUGCAAAAAGAGCUAAGCUCUCAAACACAUUCCGUUACCAAAAGAUGAAAUAGUUUUUCAGUGAAAAACUGUUUCAUCUUUUCCAGCAUAGUCCUGC